rnacentral:lncRNA from 1 species
AACUCUUUUACUCAACAGGGAACAAGGGGCCAGAUGGCAAGCAGACAUGUGCUUAAGGCUGGGAAUGUGAUGCAAAGCAAGUGGGUCCUUCCAAAACUUUUAUCCUGAA